rnacentral:rRNA from 1 species
UUAACUAUAAUAAGUAAUAUUAUUUAACACGAAGUUGAGGGAGCUAAUUAUUAUAUAUUUAUAGAUAACAGGAUGUUGUAUAAUUUAGUAAAUAGUAAUUAGGGGUGAUAGGCUUUCCACAUUCAACGAUAACUUGAUGGUUAGAGAAAAGUAUUAAUACGUAGACACUUUUAAAAUGAUAAGGUUUUAAAAGGAUAACAAAUAAUUAAAAAUUAAUAUAUAUUUUGUUUAAUCACUAAUAUAUUACUAAUAUAAUAUUAAUUUAUUAAUAAUUGUUUAAAUUAUUAACCAAUAGAAUAAUGUGCGUAUACAUAUAUAAUGUUAAUAUUAGUAACAAAAAGUUAUUAAUAAUGAACUCGGCAAAAAGUCUUUCAACUGUUUAUCAAAAACAUAGCUGUAUGAAUUAAUAUAUAGUGUUUUCUGCUCAAUGAAUAUUAAAUAGCCGCAGUACUCUGACUGUGCUAAGGUAGCGCAAUCAAUUGACUUUUAAAUGGAGUCCGGUAUGAAAGAAAUUAUGGAGGGCUACUUUUUCAUUAAUAAUAAAUGAAUUUACUUAGAAAGUGCAAAUUCUUUUAUAUAAAUAAUAGACGAGAAGACCCUAGAAAUUUUAGAGAAGUGUCUUUUUGUUGGGGCAACAAAGUAACAUAAUAAACUUACUAUAAUAACACGCAAGAUAUAUUUUGAAAGAUUAAAUUACUCUAGGGAUAACAGCAUAAUUCAUGAGAGUUUGUGACCUCGAUGUUGGAUUAGGGAAUUUACAUUUAGAAG